rnacentral:miRNA from 1 species
CAUUGUAUGGAUAGUAGAGGGGCU